CGUGCCUGUGCUCGCACGGACAUGUACAGCCUGAGCUCCGCCCGCAUCCCCAGCGCUGCAGCCCGGGGGGACCCGCGCCCUCACGGCCCCUCCGGCGCUGAACGGGAGCGAGCGCUUCGUCCUCUGCCGCCUGCGAGGGCACGGGCGAAGCCGAAGGGAAGCCCGGCCCGCUGCUCGGCGCCCGCGCCCCGGCUGCCCUCACCGGUCGGCCAGGAGCCGCUCCUGCCGCCGCAGCAUUUCGCGGAGCUCGGGCAGCGCCCGCCCGCGCAGCGCCGGAGCCGCCGCCAUGGGCACCCGGCACAGCCCCGCGGGCCGCCAUCUUGCCGGAAGGGACGGCGCGGCGGCAGGGCCUGACUUGCUCGGAAGGCGAAGGAGGGCGCGGACCGCGCCGGGGUAGCCCUGAGGGGGCCGGGGCAGCCUUCAUCCUACAGGAAUUGCAACAACAGCUGGGAAAGCUGCGGUGUGUGCCCUGUGCGGAGCAGCGCUGAAAGGCUGUGGGUAACCCACAGCUCCAGAAUGAUGAACAAGGAGCUGAACCUUGGAAGGUGCUGGAACAAAUAUUCUCAGUUACGAAUAGGUGGGCAGUAUCUAGAUACCAUGCAACUGAGACAGCAUCAACUUCAGUACAAACUUGAAAGGAGGAAAUACAGAUUUAAUAAUUUAGUAUUAUUUCUACAAGAAAAGUUGUUUUCUGCUUUCUUCAACUUUAUAAAAUGUUAUUUCUUUUAUUAGGAAGAGGAGCAAAAGUAAAUUUAGAUUGUAGGGGUUUUUUUGGGGGGGAAUGAGGUGCAGGAACUACCUUUACCAUUUCUCUGCUCAGAAAUUUUGAGGAGGAGAGGAAAAAAGCUACACACACAAUGUAAAUCACCUCCAAAAUAACAAGAAUAAUGGUAUGAGUAUUUGGAAUUGAAUAAUUUUUAUUUAAUUUAGGAAAAAAAUCAUUUAUUAUCAGCAUGAUGCACCUUUGUAAUAAUUCAUUUUAUUUUCCUUAAAAAAAAAAACGUCCCAAACACUCUAAAAGCAAAUCUAUAUGUAUUUAUACCUAUCAAUGUACUGGGAAGCAACCAUCUGAUCAUUGCAUUGCCUACAUGCCUUUACGGAAUAUUGUAACCUCACAGAUGUUCACUUCUAUGUAUUUUCUCUUUAAAUCAAUAAGUACCUUUUUCUUUUGAAAAUAUUCACAUACCUUGAGUUGUAAAUGGCUCCUGUGUCCUUCUUUUCUUGUGUUCCUUCCAAGUUGUGCUCGAGGCAGGGCUGGAAGGGCCUUAACUCAGGUCUCUCAUGCACUUUUCUUCUUUUACACAUGCAAAUAGCCCCAGGGGCUGAACAAGAAUGAAGUAAAAUGUGAAUGGAAUUAAACUCUCAGCAUGUACAUCUCCAUUCUGUGGAGCGGGGAUUUCCUGUGCAGAAUUAGACUUCAUGCACAGAGAACUUACUUCUCAUCGGUCCAUAUGCAGAAGUUUUCAGAUGCCAAAUAUUUAAAGCUCUCUGAAAAACAUCCGUAUCCAACACCCAGAAUUCCACGCUGUAGGUUCAGCACCAAGCACUGCAGAUCUCAACAAGAUUUUAUCAGGGCUUGUUGGCAAUCUGAGCUGAAUACACAUAAAUAGGGAAGCAUUAUUUGAGUUAAAAACUUGACAUUCUUCCUCUGAGCAUUACAAACCUGUGACACUGUGAUUGUCACUGUGAUUGACACUGUGAUUGUGAUUGUUUGCACAACCUCUUCUUUAGCUGACAUGUAGAUUGCUUUAGUUUUAUAGUCUUAAAAAUAAAUCUCUAUUAGUAGUAAGUGGAUAUAAACUGUAAAUAAAGAUGGGCCUCAAGCAUUCAGUCUCAUCCUGCUGAAGCCUGGAGAGCAUCAUCCCAGAUGGAUUCAGAUGUUAUCUGGAGGAUCUGAAGCUGUUGGGUUUUUUCCAAGAGCUGUGCUGCCCAGUUUUUGUUUAUCCUGUGCAAGUCAAUAGUUUUUUAUUUCAUGAAAGAGUUCAUCUACUUUUGUGACUUGGCUUUGAGAGUCUUUAGCCAGAGAGUGCCUUCCUGUUCUCAGGAGCCCGUGUGCCAAAGGAAACACUGAGGAGAACAUCGAGGCUCCGCAGGAGCCACUUUCCAUUCCCACGUGUUUGGAACAAACAAGGUUGUGAACAGUAAGAGUCUGCAACGUUUUAAGGUAGGUUUAUUUCUAAAAGACUGUUGACACAACAGAACAAGUUUAAAUACAGUGUUUAUUGCAAUUUAUCCUCUUCAUGUCCUACAUACUGGAUGUAUUAAAUGCAUACAAUGUAAUACAUUAUUUGUACAGCAUAUAUGAAAAGUGUAUCCCAAAAUACUUUCCAGAGUAUCUGGAAUAAAUCACAAAAGAAUACUUAUCAUGGUACAAAUGUAGUCAUACAAUUGACUUACAUUUAGUGUAUUUUCUGGGACCUUCCUAUAUGGCUUUUAUUGCUGUUUACAGAAAUUUUACUAGUUUCUAAUGUGAUAGUACUAAUUAAAUUGGUCUCAAAUUGAGAAAAUUUAUACAGAAGUGUUACAGUCUUUUCAGUCAGGUUUGUUAUUAUCUAUGCUAAUUUACAUUACUGCUCAUUUGACUGGAAAGCUCUACAUUUUCAUGUAACACAAUGAUAUAUCUACAGUUCCUCUCCUGUUCUUCACAUUUACCAAGUUUAGACCAGUAGUCCAAUCAAGUGACAGUCAUCCAGCUCACUGCAUGUCAAAAUGCUCUUAAAAUACAGCUUUGAUAUCAGUUCUUAUUUGGUUUAGAAAAAAAUACUGUAUUUCAUCAAACAGUCAAGACAAAGUUUACACAGAACACCUUUACAGUAAAAACUUAAGGCCUUGCUGCAUUCCUCUAAAAGUCUUGAGCAGAUUAUCAUAAUGUUGCAAGUCUCAGAGUUCAAACAGCUUGCAGCAUUUUCAGAUCUUCAGGAGUGCAUUAAAAGUAGAAUGAACUUCCUUUGAGUCUGUGUCAAAACAGCAUUUUGACACUUACCCUGCCCUCUACUACUAUUUCUUGAGCACCUCACAGUCAUCAGGUUAUUUUCUGACUUCUGGCCAAAAUCAGAGGGGUAAAGGAUUUUCACUUUUUUAAACUUGUCAGUUAAUGUCUUUUACAACAAGAUGCAUUUCCUUUUAUCUAAAACUACCACCUUUAUCCAUUCAUCUUAAUUUUGAAAGUAACUUUCACAAACCAUGGUUCAGAAUUCAAGUCCUGAAUUACAGAGGGACUGUUUGGGCACAGAAAUGCUAAAAUAUAUUCUAUAAGACCUAAAUUUGUAUCCCUAAUGGACAUUAAUAUACCUGUUGGGAUUAGUUUUUAGUGUCUUCCUCUUCAGAAACAGAUACUGUCCAAAUAUUUGCUGUUAUCAUCCACUAGAUGGAGAUAAGAUUUCACAGGUACAAAGCUUAUCCCUGAAACAGAGUUACUACUCAUCUUCUUGUGUAUUCAACAUUAUUAUUUUAAAUACAACUUUAGUAAGUGUACUUGAUUUGAAUAGACAGGACUGAAUUGCAUUAGGCUGGAGAUAAAAGCAAUCCCUUUGUGAAGCUCUGUGGCAAGGUGAGCACCUCCUGGGAUUGACACUGCAUGCAAGAACAAUAUUAAUCAUAUGGAACCUAAGUUGUUUGUUUUCUGCUGCAGGUACUGUAAUUA